GAACACUUGGUGCAGGAAUCUUCUAAUUUUUUUUUGUUUUUGCAGUCUCUCCACCUACAAUAUACCAACUGGAAUUUCCCUUAUUUGAAAGAAAAUCUUCAGGGUAAAGAAGACAUUUACAAUGACACAAAAAGAUUCCAAAGGUAUCAUGGUCCUAAAGGGCUUUCCCCAAGGGACAGCACAGUGUGUUCCAGGCCCUGAUGAGAGGUAACAUUGUGAAACUCCUGGCUACUUGGAAGGCUGAUGUGGGAGGAUUCCUUGAGCCCAGGAGGUCGAGGCUGCAGUGGGCCAUGAUGAUGCCACCCCACUCCAGCCUGGGACACAGAACAAGAC
rnacentral:lncRNA from 1 species